ACAUUUUUUGACUGGUGGUAAGCUUAACAAUGAGUUUUAUAUGGAUGCGCAAGGACAAGAACAAACCGCUUAGGUGGAAUACAUCGAGAGAAAACACAAUGACCAGAGACAAAAAGGCAACAUCACUUAUAGCUCAUAGCUGACAUGAUUCAUGUGUCUUCCCAAUAGUCGUGCCCAUGGUAGAACCAUUAGUACUCAUCACUUUUUGAUUCUAGCAACAAUUUAAAACAGAAAUCAACCUGCAUUUUGAUUGAAGUUAGGGACCAACAAAAUAAUUGGUGAUCUGCUAUGGUUAAUUACUUUGCA